UUUGGCAUUUCUCAUUUCUGGCUUUGGGGUUUGGUGUCGUGUCGUCGUCCCCCGCCCUCGCCCCUUAAAUUCGUUGGGGUUUGUUUGUUUUAAACGAGUGGGAGGGAAGCAGAAUAAAACAUUCAGUGUUGUGCGCCGUGGUGAAAAUCCUCUGUGUUUUUAAAAGUUUAGGGCUUAAACUUGCCGAAGGAUUUGAAUAUAUUGGCAUCUGUGAGUUGUCUACAGGAAAGCGCUGGAGGUUCAUUUUUAUUGGACUGGUUGUCAUUAUAAACUAAUUUAAACGCUGUAUUGAGAUUUCAGCUUAAGACUAUUGAAAAACUUUGGCUGGGUGAAAAUAGGGUUAGUUUGAGGAAGGUAAGCGCUAGACCUUUUUUCAUCUUCUGCCUGUAAAAGGGUGAAAGUUUCAAACAGAUAGCGUGGAGGUAGAAACAUGCAUGUAAGUGUAAAUAUUUGAGUACUGAAAGAUGAAGAUGUGCAUGCGAACCAGGCAAACCUAACAAUCUUGAUCAGAUCCUUACUUGCCUUAAAAUAACUUUAUGAAAUUAAAGGAGACUUGUUAAGAGGAUCUUUCAGGUUCCACAGUUAAUUGUCAUGAGAAAUCAGUUUUGUGGUCAUGGGACAGGUGUUUGUUUUACCAGACACUUGUAUAUACUUGUAAGAUGUUCUAUAUGGUUAAAUAAGCAAGAUGCUUUGGUGUUCUUGUUUUUAGACGUGACCUAUCAAGUGACUUCCUUUAAAUUUUUUUUUUUUUUUUUAUUCAGUAGAGAGCAUUUCAUUGCUGAGAAGUCUGGCUGUUUCUUUCCCUACAACAUGAUCUAUUUCAUCAGUCUCUCUCUAAAGAGCAAAAUAAAAGGUUUGGUGAUCAUGCACCCUCAGUUGCCAGUUGAAUUCUUUGUCAAGUGACAGCUAACAGGGAAGCCAGUAGUAAGGCCUGAAGUUUUUGGUGCCUUGGAGUUGUGCUGUGGUGUAUAUCUACUUCUGAGGCUGCUUUUGUCAUAGCUACUUUUGAUAGUAAUUCCUUCUUAACUUGCAAAGAAAUAUGCCCACUUGUAGGCCUUUGAGGUGUGUCUGAGUAAGCAAGAAACAGGCUUAGGUCACUCUUGGCAUUUUUAUGUAUUAAUGAGGAAACAGUGUCUGCAAUCUGCUAUUACAGUCACUUGCCCUAAAGGUCAAGAGGUCUUUGGCGUGCUAUUAGAAUUGUGGCACACAAACUGGCAAAAAGAACAGGAAGAGAGCUGUUUCAAACCUUAGAGCCGAGACUUCUGCUUUGAAAAAAUGCUGUGUCCAGGCUUCUUGAAACUUCUGUUUCACAGUUGUCCGUGAGCAGCUUGGUGCUUUCCAAUGUUCGCUAAUUUUUGGCUCUUUGAGGUAGGGGGCUAUUUUCCCCAUGUGUUAAAAAUAAAUGGGAGAGGGCAACCUGAGAUACAGAGGUGGCUCUCUUGAAGCAAGUGGGCAGCAGGUGGCAGAGCCAAAAAGAGAAAGCUGACCUCUGGACUUCUGUCCUAGUUUUUUGACACAAGUGUUAGAACUCAAAGUAUGACAAAAGUGAUUUAUUCUUCUUCCCCUCCCCUUCCCCUGAAUUGAGUCUCUUGGCUCUGACUCCUAAUUCCCUCCAGGUCUUUUUCUGUAGCUACUGUAAACUAGAAGAGCAUAAGUCUUGUUUACUGUGCUUCAGUGGAUCUGCAGGUACUGUGGGAACUGGAACUUCAAAUGGUGGUAUUAGCAAGUAAAAGCUGCCAAUUUAACCCCUACAAUACUGAUCAAGCCAGGAUAUUAUUUCCCUUACUCGACAAGAGCUUACAGUAGAUUGUGCGUUUGGAUGCUCAAGAAUUCUGUUAAGGGGAAGAGUAAGUACAAAGCUCAGUAAUCACUUUUUUCUUUGUGGUUCUGUUUGGGUACCUCAAUAUUUUACCUAAAAUGAAAGCUGUCUAGCAGUGUGUACAGAUGCUAAAGUUACUGGAUGGAGAAAAAACUGCUAGGGAAGGAAGCUUCCAGUAGCUUCUGCACUAAGUCUGAAAAGAGACCCGAUAACUAAGUUGCUCUGAUCUUCACAAUGGAUCUCUUUCUUUUCUCCAGUCUAGAGAGAGAGAAGGCAGUGGAAAGAGGAAAUGUUCUCCUGGAGAGCUGAGGGAGAAUGUCUGCUUAGGAACUGCGUGGAUCUCCACGAGUUUCCUAGACUAAAUUCCACAGCUUGAUUAGAAGUCUGCCCUGGAGUUUCUCACUGAGAUGAUUUUCUGAUUGUCUGCAGUAUGAAUUUGUAGAACUGUCAAAGUUAAGCAUUUGCUGCAGCACCCUAGGAGUGGUCUACCUGUGAUACUGAGCAGUGCUUGAAAUGAAAGCAAGAUAUAUUUUACUCGGUAGCUCUUCUGUUUCAUAAAGUGACAGGCAAGCUUUGUCCAAGUCUGUCCUUCAUGAUUUCUGGUAGUGACCCAUAUUGGAACUUAAAUGGUUAAUCAGAUUAUUUCAAGAGAGGCACUUCAGGGUGGAGUCAUCCCUGUCAGAAACAUUGCUGCUUAUUCCUGAGAACUGUCUAAUUAUUGAACUUGUUCAGGCUGUGUACCUUCACAUUCCCGUUUAGUUAUGCCAACAGCAGUGUCUCCAUUCUGGAGUCUUAUUUCUGUUUUUCUCAGGUUUCCUUUUUAUUUAACAGCAGUAUUCCAAUUAAUCAAGUUCAAUAAACCAGUGUCCUUUACAAAGUAUUUGUAUUUAUCCUGGUCCUGUUCCACAUGUUUUUUGAAAUGGUAUCAAAACAGUGGCCUUACCUAGAGGAGUGUGUUUAUUGAUCGUGACUUUAGGUAAGUGUCUUUCCAUGCAACUUGUAGUUUCAGUUUGGUACCUUAGCAGACUUUUGUCAUAGUAUUCCAAAGGGUAUGUUAGAAUUAUUCAAUCUUUUCCUUGUUAUUGUGGGAGAAAGGACUGAUUUGGAUUGCUGUAAGCAUCUUGUAUUUUCUGUAUAAUCUCUUCAGAGAGAAACUGGAUAUUAAUAUCUCUCUACCUGUACACAAGACUACUAUUGAAAUUCUGUGUCCUCAAGUAGCACUUGCAGGUAGAAUGGGGUUUGUGCCAGCUCUGAGUGGGAGCAGAUUUUGCCCCAAACAGAUACUGGGCUCUGAUGUGCAGUGGUACCCUUCACACAUUAACAAUUCAAUUCAGCUAGUAUGGCUGACUCCAGUAUACUCUUGCUUCUCUGUUGGAAAGAAGUAUCUUCUGCUUUCACUGAAAAAUACCCUGCUGCUAAAUCGGACUUAGAAGCUGCUAUGAAAGGCUUGAAAAGGUUGCUGUCUACAGAUAACUGCAAUUGAUGGGAGAAGACUUUAUUUUCCCUUCUAAACCAGAAUCAAUGAAAAGAUACUACCUAUGAAGCUUUUGACAAGUUGGGUAUAUACAGGAAGUGAGUGUAUUAGAACGUGCAAUAGUUCUUCAAAGGUGUAAGACUUUAAUAUUAAAAGCACUCCUCGCUAAUGCCUAGACAGCUGAUAACCUUUUAAAAAGGUUAUUUGUACACAGAACUAACCACACAAUGAAUGAGGCAUUCAGUUCAAACCACAGAUUUUUUAUUUUUUUUUUUUUUUUUAGAUCACUAGACAUUCUGUAGUGAGGUCAAGACCUUUGUCUUGCAGCAUAUGGAUACCAGGACUAAAGAAAAGCAUACACAGCUUUAUCUUGACAACAUGUACUUUUCUAACUUGAAUUAGACAUACUUGGUGUUUUAAAAAAAGGCACUCAAGUAACUAUUUUCAAAUAUAACUUAGGCAGUAGAAAUUGAGAAGUCUAGUCUUGUUUUAUUUAGCAAACCAAAAUUAAGCAAACAAAAAAAAAAACUAGAGGAGUUAGGAUUUUAACUUCUCUUUGUAUGCCAAGACUGUAAUUGGAGAAAGAAUAUUUGCAGAAAGGAGUAGGGGAAACUUUUGUGUCUGAAAGACAUAAGACCUUACUUUCUGACACCACAGCUUAGUUGUGCUGUGUGUGAAAGGCUGUAACCAGUUACUUCAGGACUUUGCAGGCAGUUGUUCUGUCCCCUCCAUAAUGUAUGAAGUGCUCCUAAAAUAUCCUUGAAAGCCACAAUGGCAGGCUUCAAAUAUAAAUACUAGCUUAUGCUGAGGUUUUAAUGUACAGGAAAUUGCACUUAUUUGAAAUGGGUUACUCAUGUGAGUUAAUGAUACAAUAGUUUCUGAACUGGGACUGUUGUGGACCUCAAAAGAGCUCUCCCUGCACUUUGAUAAUUAAAAGAAGUUUUAUAAAAAGAAUUAUAUUCUUUUUACUCAGUAUGCUUCCUCAUGUUAACUGUUCAGGAGGUUUUUUGUAAAAGACUGGAAGAUACCUGGUAAUUUUUGUAUGUUUCUUCAUCUUCACUAGUUUUUCAGGGACUAACUUAGAGUAGGGCUACUUUGUAACAGGGAUUUGCUGGUAUGUGAUGGUUGCCUUUGAUUUGUGUUGCCAGUGAGAUUUACUUUGUGUCAAAAUUGGAGUACUGGUAGUUGGCCUUGCUAGAGACCUUUCUUAUGCUACAAGAAGCAAGAGAAUGUACUGCUAAUCUUGAUUUUUUUUUUUUUUUUUUCUUGGGGGGAUGGGAGUGGAGGGGGGAUGGGUGCAGGGCAUGCUAAGAUUUUGGCUUUUUUUUGUCAAAGCUUUUUAUGAAUAAAAUGAGGAAAAAAAAGGUAGUAGUGUAGAAAGUGUGUUCUAUUCUGGAAAAUAAGGUUGCACUUCCAAAUUCAUUGUGGCAGUCUGUCUACAAAGGAACUUUGUAAAAUCAGAUGUUAUUAAAGGAGUUGAUCAAGUUUGUUCCCAAAAAAGAAUAACUUCAUUCCGUCAGACUUAUGCAGACUAGAAUGACUCUGCAGGUGUUUUUUCUGUGUUAUGCCAGGUGAUACUGCGUAUUGAUGACAUGUCGAUAUUCCUCAACAUGAAUUAAAAAUUACGAUUGCUAGGAAGAACGAAGUAUGAUUGUGUCCUGUAUGCUCUGUAAUACUGCUGUUGCUCGCAGACCAGCAAAGGCUAUGUGCCCUGUGAGGUGGCCAAAAUUGAGUUUACUGGAUUAAGGACCUGGCUGGCAUGUAAAAAUUCUUUACUGGGUUAUGGUUAAUCUGGAUCAUUUCCCAGUCUGGUUCACUGCGUGGCUGCACAAAACAGCUGUACCGUCACAACAGAGG